rnacentral:tRNA from 1 species
GGGCGAGUGGUGGAAUUGGUAGACACGCAGGGUUCAGGGUCCUGUGCUCGCAAGGGCAUGAGGGUUCGAGUCCCUCCUCGCCCA